CCGAGCCCCCUGCCGGCUGCGCCCCGCGCCGCGCGGAUUCCCGGCGGGUCGGCAGCCCCCGCGCAGCCGACGUCCCCGGAGGGCGUCCAGCCAGCCCCCCUCCUCCUCCUCCCGGCCUCGCCCGUUCCUCUUCGUUUCCAGAACUCAGCAGCUUCAGAAGAGGCGCGUUCCGUCCAUCAACUCCCAGAUCCUCGCCGCCUCCUCUUAGGUGUCACUGGAGGAGAGCGACUGCAUUCAUAGAGUCUGUCUUUCCCAUGAUUCAGUUAUGGACCAGUGGAAAGGGCGGAGUUUACGAAGUCGGACGGAACGAAGUUAAUACAACACAAACAGAGGUCUUAACCGUGGAGAUAAUGAAAAGAUCUCAGCUCGCAGGCAGGGAAGGGGGACUGAGCGACCCCCCUGGGAUGACUGACAGCCUCCAGCCACCUCCCACGGACUCCCCAUCUCCAUUUCCAUGUGCCUGAAGCCCACAGCGAUGCCCUUAAGCAGGUGGACAGCUGCAGCUCAGGGGCUGGCGUGGGGUAGGUGCACAGUUCACCGCCAGGUGGCCGAAGGCUCUAGUUCAGAGCCUUACCUUGUUAGUUCAGCAGCAACUGUGCACCAACCUACUCAACACCCGCAAUGAAUGACAUUUGAAGCUCAGAACUGUGCCAGACUGAGGGGCGUGCAUGUGAAAUGCAUCUGCGUGGCUCUCUCCUUUAUUUACUGCUUACUACUUGCCAGUCACUGUGCUAAGCACUUGGCAAGUAUAAUGUGGAGAGUUUUGAAUUGUGUCACUGUGAUUUUUUUUCCCCCUCCUGUCGUCCCUUGGCUGUGACCUCCCUGCCAAAGCCAUCGUUUGCCUUGGUCUUGCUGUGGGAAUGUAAAGCUUUUACUCCAGUUCAGAUCUGAGAGCCAGCAGGUUUGGAAACAAGAAGGAUUUUGUGAACUUUUUUAGUUCCCAGGCCUGGCAGAUAAGCUCAGAUGUCUUCAAACUAAGGGUACACAAACUUCUGGGGUGCACAGUCUUUCCAAGUGCAGGGGCUGGGAAAACCAGAAAACAGGUUUUACUAAUUUAUUGACUGAUACACAGAAUCUGAAAAAGAAUCUUGUAAAAAAACAACUGAUUAAGUUUUUAUUUUAUUUUUUAAAGUUUACUUAUUUUGAGAGCAAGAAAGUGAGCAGGGGAGGGGCAGAGAGAGAAGGAGAGAGAGAGAAUCCCAAGCAGGCUCUGCGCUGCCAGUGUGGGGCCUGAUGCGGGGCUUGAUCCCACCAACUGUGAGAUCAUGACCUGAGCUGAAAUUAAGGGUCGGAAGCUCAACUGACUGAGCCACCCAGGUGCCCCUCCUUUUUUUUUUUUCAAGUGAGAUAUAAUUUUUUUUUAACUGAGGUAUAAUUGACAUAUAACAUUAUAUUAGUUUCAGGUGUACAACAUCAUGAUUUGGUAUUUGUAUAUAUUAUGAAAUGAUCAUCACAAUAAAUCUAAUUAACAGCCACUAGCAUACAUAGUUGCAAACAUAUUUUUCUUGUGAUGAAAACUUUUAAGAUCUACUGUCUUCACCUCUCCUUUUGUCUAGAAAUGCAUUAGUCUCAGGGCACCUGGGUGGCUCAGCCGGUUAAGCAGCCGACUUUGGCUCAGGUUGUGAUCUCAGAGUUUGUGAGUUUGAGCCCUGCACUGGGGCUUUGCACUGGCAGUGUGGAGCCUGCUUGGAAUUCUCUCUCUCCCUCUCUCUCUCUGCCUCUCCCCUGAUCACUCUAUCUGUCCCUCUCUCAAAAUAAAUAAAUAAAAACUUAAAAAAAAAAGAAUCAUCCUUAGGUGGGGACAGCAGGUGCCUCUGAACAGCAAGCAUAGUGGAGGUUAGGGAUGCUGAGCAGGGAGCACAGUCUCUGGGAAUAUCAACCUUUUCAGGACACAUUGGCUGCAACUGACAGGUGAUAUUUCCAUAUUUCUUUUUUUUUUUAAAGCUUAUUUAUUUAUUUAUCUCUACACUUGAUGUGGAGUUCGAACUCAUGACCCCAAGCUCAAGAGUCAUGUGCUCUUCCAACUGAGCCAGCCAGGCACCCCAGUAUUUCCAUAUUUCUUUCAGAUUCUUUGUGGUAUUCAAGAAUGGAGUCUAACUUCUCAUAUCAAAUCACAUAAAGUAUUCUGAUUACAGUCUUCAUCUUAUAAAAUGUUUCAUAAUCUAUUUCUGUUAUAAAAAGAAAAAGACUGCUAGCACCACAUCUAUUAGUCUUUAGCAGUAUAUGCCUCAAUAAAAGAUGUUUUUUAUGUUUAAAAA